rnacentral:rRNA from 1 species
UAGUCGUGCGCUUCCUAGCCACGAAGGGAGCGCGGCGCACAGCUCAGUAACGCGUGGCUAAUCUGCCCUUGAGACGAGAAUAACCCCGGGAAACUGGGGCUAACUCUCGAUAGGCGAAGAACUCUGGAAUGAGUCUUCACCCAAAAAGCUUCACGUUAUCCUCGUGAAGUCGCUCAAGGAUGAGGCCGCGACCGAUCAGGUUGUUGGUGAGGUAAUGGCUCACCAAGCCUUUUACCGGUGCGGGCCGUGGGAGCGGGAGCCCGGAGAUGGGUACUGAGACAAGGACCCAGGCCCUACGGGGCGCGGCAGUCGCGAAAACUUUGCAAUACACGAAAGUGUGACAGGGCUAUCCCGAGUGCCAUCCGCUGAGGAAGGCUUUUACCCAGUCUAGAACGCUGGGGGAAUAAGGAGAGGGCAAGUCUGGUGUCAGCCGCCGCGGUAAUACCAGCUCUCCGAGUGGUGUGGAUGUUUAUUGGGCCUAAAGCAUCCGUAGCUGGCUAAGUUAGUCCCCUGUUAAAUCCACCGAAUUAAUCGUUGGAUUGCGGGGGAUACUGCUUGGCUAGGGGACGAGAGAGGCAGACGGUAUUUUCGGGGUAGGGGUGAAAUCCUAUAAUCCCGGGAAGACCACCAGUGGCGAAGGCUGUCUGCUAGAACGCGCCCGACGGUGAGGGAUGAAAGCUGGGGGAGCGAACCGGAUUAGAUACCCGGGUAGUCCCAGCUGUAAACGAUGCAGGCUAGGUGUUUGGACGGCCACGUGCCGUUCUAGUGCCGCAGGGAAGCUGUUAAGCCUGCCGCCUGGGGAGUACGAUCGCAAGAUUGAAACUAAAGGAAUGGCGGG